UUGGAGGGCAAGUCUGGUGCCCGCAGCCGCGGUAAUUCCAGCUCCAAUAGCGUAUAUUAAAGUUGUUGCAGUUAAAAAGCUCGCAGUUGAAUUUCGGGAUCAAGGAAUCGGUCAUGCCUCGGUAUGUACUGGUUUUAUUGGUUCUCACCUUCUAAAGAACCAUAAUGUCAUUUAUUUGGUGUUAUAGGGAAUUAGGACUGUUACCUUGAAAAAUUAGAGUGUUUAAAGAAAGCUUACGCUUGAAUACAUUAGCAUGGAAUAAUGAAAUAGGACAUCCGAUUCUAUUUUGUUGGUUUCUAGGAUCGAUGUAGUGAUUAAUAGGGAUAGUUGGGGGCAUUAGUAUUCAAUUGUCAGAGGUGAAAUUCUUGGAUUUAUUGAAGACUAACUACUGCGAAGCAUUUGCCAAGGAUGUUUUACAUUAAUCA
rnacentral:rRNA from 1 species